ensembl:antisense Csmd2os CUB and Sushi multiple domains 2, opposite strand
ACAGGGCUCGAGAAAGGGAUGGAAAGUGAGUUCACCUGAUCUUGGAAGCUGAGAACGGGCUGACCUGGUUGGAAGGUGGAUGGAGAAGAAGCAGCAAGGAACUCCUCAUGGGUUGGAUGAGGCCCAGCUCUGCUCCAUGGGAGUCAAGGUGAUGGGGAGAAAGUUGAGUGAUGACCCAAAAGACGUUUGCAUUUCUAGCAGUGUCCAUGGCUCAGCUGCAGCCCAGGAAGUGCCCAGGUCCUGGGUACAUAGCGACGGGAGGAGCAUUGAUCUGCUAGAAGCUGUGCCAAGGUCCGUGGGAACCGCAACCCCUUCCCCUCGACAUCUUGCCAGCAGCACUGGAUUAAUCUCUGAGAACAAGCACUCUGGGUUCCCAGAGGCAAAACAGGCUUUUGAUUUCUAUGAGCUAAGACUCCUCUGCAGGAGCGUGGUCUUGUGCCUUACUGUCAUUGCUUCUUACAAGGAUCACAUAAGCCAAAGAUCCCAGGAACCUCCUGUGGGCAAAUAAGAAGAACAGGGUAAAGUUGUGGGGUGGACAAGGGAGUGACGCUGGAUACAGCUAUUCCUGAAAGCGCUUACACUUGACACUAAGUUAAUAGAGUCUCUCUCUCACUC